AACCUUGUAGCACAGUGGGUCGGUGUGCCUGGCUGUUAAUCAGAAGGUUGGUGGUUUGAGCCCACCCAGGGAUG
rnacentral:tRNA from 1 species